AACUGAUACUACCUGCGGGAACCUGCGGAAGGAUCAUUAAUGAAAUCAUAUUCUCCUUUGGAGUUUCUUCUAGCUGAUGCGUCUUUUGGCUGCACGCUGUUGUCACUCUUUAGGGGUUAUAUUUCCACAAACCCUUCUGUGCAUAUUGGGAGGCUUUAUUGUCCUCUCCUAAUUCAUAUACUCUAAUGUUUAAUCAUGUCAUACAAUGUUAAAUACAUUAAACAACUUUCAACAAUGGAU
rnacentral:misc_RNA from 1 species